AAAGGAAAACUUCGAAUACUAUUCCUGUGGUUUCGCGCUUUCUCACUUUAGUAUCCUAUGGUUUAAAGUAUAUCACUUAAAUACCUUGUGAUUUUAUUUUUCACUUUUAAUCAGCAUCUUCAUUAACUGUUUGUUAAAUCAUAUACAUUAAAUUUUAGAGAUCCUAUCUAUAAUUUAUCGAAUAUUCACUUUAAUAACACGUGGUUUACCGAAUUUUCACUUUAGUAUUCUUUGGUUUUAACUUUGUCGCUGAUUUAACAAAAAAAUUAACGGAGCAGAUAAUAAAAAAAUAAAAAUAAAAAUAUCGGAUAUGAAAGUAAUAAUACAUUUUAAAUUAUACGGUACUAAAAUGAAAAAAACACGAAAUCAUAGAAGAUGGAGAACCUAAAUAAAUAAAAUAUCCAAGUAUUGGAGAUUGAUGGUGCAAACCCUCCAUUUUAAUAGAUUUUAGAAAAAAAAAAUUAAAAUUCACAUCUCGUGCGUGACCAAACUUUAUAAUAGUAGAGUCAUCAAAUAAUUUAAAUUAAAUAAAUAAAAAAUUAAGCAUCAAAAUUAACUUUUUUUAAGAUUAUUAUUGGACUCCAUAAUUUACAUGGAUUAAGCAGCAAAUUUCAAAUUCAAAUUCGGUGUUUGGUUUAAUAUAUUUAACUUCAAUUACUGCAAUAAGAACUGUAGGAGGAUGUCCAAAUGCAGCAGUUGGAAUUACGCUCAAAUUGGCCGCAGUUCCAACUGCAGCAGUUGGAGAGUAUAACUUUAAACAAAAGAUUACCUUACAU
rnacentral:lncRNA from 1 species